UUCUCUACUUUGUCAUUGAUGUUCGGCUUCAUUGCUUCACAGUGUAGAGAUUGCACGAAUCACUUCUUCGGCUCCUUCAUUGAUGUUCGACUUCGCUCCUUCGAUGAUGUUCCCUUCAUAUUGGAUCUAGAACCACACCUCCUUGCUAUUCUCUAUUGGAUCGAAAGUAAUCACGCUACAGGAGCUUGCUCUUGCUCGUUGCAAAGAUAGCCAUCUUUUUUUCUUUCGCAUUCUUCUUUGGCGAAAUCCAGUUAAAUUCGUCGAACGGAUGGGAUUUAGAUUUAGACGAAUUUACUUAAGAUUUAUGACGUAAAUUUAUAAAUCAUGGAUUUACACAGACGUCGGAUUUACGCAACCGAUACCAAACAGCCCCUUAGGGCAUCUCCAACCAAACGUCAAACGAGCGUAUGCCGUCCGUCCGUCGUUCCAACCGAACGUAAAAAUUUUCGCCAUUUACUUGCAGGUGAACAGUACGACGCUAAUAUUGGCGUCGCACUGUUCACCCACGCCAUUUUACUCUCUCAACCGGUAAAACUCGCGAAAGGGAGAAGAUCGUUAAUUUUCAAAAAAUACCUAAAAUGACGUUCGAUUGGAGCAGUAUCACGCCAUUUUGGAGAUCUGCGCUAUUUUGCCGUAAAUUUUGGAGUUCUGCCCCUUAGGGUUUACCGAAACAGGUCAAAAAUUAGGGAUAAAAAACAGAGAGUUCCGUCUGCGGAGCAAUGGGGCAAAAUCUUUACUUGAAAAGCAAACUUUCUUUGGCACUUCGGCACUCGACUUCAGUGGCUCGAAGGAUCUGUAUGGACGAAUUGAAGGAGAUCACGCAGAAGGAGUCCGUCCCGACCAAAAUGCCAGAAUUUAUUUCUGCGAUGAGGAACCAUGCACGCUAAAAAUUCAUGGCCGGAGCGAAUAGCCGGCUGAAUCCCUCUAGAAACAGUAGAAAUAAGAUAUUUCUGUUUGGGUGUUUGAGGAGGCGAAAAUCAGCUCGGAGAGUCCCAUUUGAAGUCCUGACCAAAAAUGCCUCUUCCAUGACAACGCAGUCGCUGGCCUUCCCAUCCGAAGUAGCACUGCUGAUUCUUCAGAAAAACAAUGCAGGCUGGAAUAUUAGGGCUGUCGUAGACGUCUCGGGUCUUCUUCAUUGCGAGCUAUUGGCAGCCAGCGAUGUGCCAAAGGUGGAGGUCGCUGAGGAGAAAAGGCCUCAGAGGCCCCGGAGAACGGUGAUCUGUUGGUCGGAGAAAUAAUGGAACUCCCGCAGGUCCGUGGUCCUACGUUCAUCCAGCCCUAAAGCCCAAAAAUGAAGAACCUUUUCGAAGAGGGAUGCAGGCCGUGCUGGAGCAGCUACAGUUCAAGUGACGAAGUGGCGGUGGAAGUGUGCGUUUCAGGUAAAGGUUUUGCGCAAUUAAGAGCGGAUGGAACACUUCUGUUUAUGUAUCCAUAAUUUGGAUAGUGACUCGGUCAGCUGCUUGCUCCGGCAAUGAAUUCUUAGAUGAUUUAGUUUCCAACAAACUUGGAAAUAGCAUGCACGAUGAUGGUGGAAAGCUCGGAGCAGAUACAGAAAGGUUGAGGAGGAUUAAAAAGAAGAGAAAGAAGCACAGGCCCAAGGUGAUUGAAAUGGAGAAGACAGAAGAUGCCAAGAAGCGGAUUUUAAUUCCUCAUCAAAGACCCAAACAGAAAUCUACAGGGAAGAAAAAGGGCAUGGGAUUGGAAGGAAGACUUUUGCAAAGAAGUUGUUUGGAAAUUUAGAAGAUGAUGAUGAAUGGGAAGAAGCUGGUGAUCAACUCAUGCUUGCGUUAGCUGAUGAGGCAAUUAAGUAUUCUUAGAUAAUCCAGUUCGAUGAGGAUGAAUAUGCUGCUGAAAUGGAUGUGCAGCCUUGUGAACAAAAUUUGCUAGCAUGAUCUACUUAUAGUACAAGAGAUGUCAAUAUUAUAAUUGAUGAGUUAUUGCAAGAACUUGCUAAACUAAAGAUAAAACUAAAGAUAAAAUCAUCUCAUCUGUACUACUUAAAGCAGAAUUGCUACAACUUAAUAUUGAAUUUCCGCAAAUUGCCUUGAGUUACAUUAUUGAUAAUAUUAGAAUCUCUUAUAUUUUCUAUUUUGUUAAGCAAGCGAGAAUAUAUAUAGACAGAAAUAGGAUUAAAUCAGGCUAUAAGUUCGGAAAUGGUCUAUUUUGUUAAUCAAAGAUAUUUGAUUUUUGUUUAACGUUGUGUUAAGCAAUGUCAAAGGGUCCAUAUCAUUCAACAAACAAAAUAUCUUCUUAUGAUGAGUUUUUCAUGCGAUGAAUUCAUUAACCAGAGUUCAACAAAUGUUGAACAAGAAUCAGAUGUCUUUGCUUAACAAAAUAGAUUCUUUUCGAGCUUAUAGCCUGUUUUAAUUCUAUUUCUAUCUAUAUAUCUUCUCGCUUGCUUAACAAAAUGGAAAAAAUAAGGGAUUUUAAUAUUAUCAAUAAUGUAACGUAAGACAACCAGCGAAAAUUCAAUAUUAAGUUAUAGCUAUUCUGCUUUAAAUAAUAGAGAUGAGAUGACUUCAUUUGCAGUUUAACAAGUUCUUGCAACAACUCAUCAAUUAUGAUGUUGACAUCUCUUGAACUAUAAGUAGAUGAUGCUUGCAAAUUCUCUGAAAUCAUUCAACUUUCAUAAGAUUGCACAUAUAUUUCAGCAGCAGAUUCAUCAUCAUCAAAUUAGAUUCUAUAAGAAUACUUAAUUGCCUCAUCAGCUGAAGUAGGCUUGCCUCAUUAGCUCAACAAUAGAGUGUAAGCCAUCUGAUUCUUGUUCAACAUUUGUUGCACUCUCUGGUUUCACUGAUAGGAUAGUUAAUUUGUUAUCAUCAUUUGAUUAUAUGAUGGACUUUAUCUUGUUAGUCAAUUAUGGUUAUUAUCAUAUUAUCUUUAUUCA